CCUACGGGCGGCUGCAGUGGGGAAUAUUGGACAAUGGGGGCAACCCUGAUCCAGCCAUGCCGCGUGUGUGAAGAAGGCCCUCGGGUUGUAAAGCACUUUCAGUGAGGAAGAACGCCUGGUGGUUAAUACCCAUCAGGAAAGACAUCACUCACAGAAGAAGCACCGGCUAACUCCGUGCCAGCAGCCGCGGUAAUACGGAGGGUGUGAGCGUUAAUCGGAAUUACUGGGCGUAAAGCGCGCGUAGGUGGCUUGAUAAGCCGGUUGUGAAAGCCCCGGGCUCAACCUGGGAACGGCAUCCGGAACUGUCAAGCUAGAGUGCAGGAGAGGAAGGUAGAAUUCCCGGUGUAGCGGUGAAAUGCGUAGAGAUCGGGAGGAAUACCAGUGGCGAAGGCGGCCUUCUGGCCUGACACUGACACUGAGGUGCGAAAGCGUGGGUAGCAAACAGGAUUAGAUACCCCGGUAGUC
rnacentral:rRNA from 1 species